UAAAUCUUUAAUCUCAUUUUUGAAUUUCUUUUAGUUUUUGUGAUUGUUUUAGUUAAAAUAUGUUUUAAGUCUUUACACUCUUUGUAAAUUUAAAAAUUAGUCUAUGUACUUUUUGUAAUACCCAAUUAUUGUGGGCCCGCAUACAGAAAUAAUAAACCAAAAAAAACAGAAAAUAAAAAAAUAAAUAGUCCAUUUUUUGUAUGUGGCCCAAUUUCACCAGCCUAAUUACCCUAAAACCCAAAUUAGCCCAAAAUUGAAAAAUUUGGAAACCUUAGAAUCUUUAGCUGCUGCCUCCAGCUUCCCACGAGCGUCGCCCCCUCCGCACGAAUGUUGCAGCACGUUGCCCUCGCACAACCCACGUUCUCCAACACCCGUAUCUGCAACAAAUAAAACCACAAAUAACAAAUAGGGGCAAAAAUUACAACGAAGAGGGAGUUUUCGAGAGUUUUUUAUAUUAUUUUAUUUAUUUAUUUAUUUUGGCUAUAUAAAGCCGAAUAAAGAUCUGUAAAAGGGGUUUUUUUUUUUACAAAUGUUGUAAAAAAGAGAAUACUGAAAUACGAAAACAAGGAAUCAAAAGAAAAAAUAAUUUUUAAAGGUGACUAAUUUGCUACCGUUUUUUUUCUUUUCCUUUUCUUGUUACUGUUUUUUUUUAUUCUUUUAUUUUCCUAUUUGUUUCUUAAAAUAAAUAAACGAAAAGAAAAGGAGAAAUUUACCUGUGUGGAGGAGACGACGGACUCUGCCCGAAUCGAAGCCGAAGGGAGGCUUCAAGCUGCUGAGGUGGUUGCGGCGGCUAGGGGGUUUGGGUUAAGGAAAACCCUAGCAGAGAACCCCCCUUUUCCCUCUGUUGUUUUUAAAAAAAGGAAAAAGAAAAUGAAAUGGAAAUGUUUUUUGAAGGAAAUUUUGGUUUUAGUAUUAAAACAAAACGGCGCUGUUUGGUAAGGGGAAUCCGCGCGUCGACCCGACCUGGUCCCAAG
rnacentral:lncRNA from 1 species